rnacentral:rRNA from 1 species
GAUGAACGCUGGCGGCGUGCCUAAUACAUGCAAGUCGAGCGAACAGACGAGGAGCUUGCUCCUUUGACGUUAGCGGCGGACGGGUGAGUAACACGUGGGUAACCUGCCUAUAAGACUGGGAUAACUUCGGGAAACCGGAGCUAAUACCGGAUAAUAUUUCGAACCGCAUGGUUCGAUAGUGAAAGAUGGCUUUGCUAUCACUUAUAGAUGGACCUGCGCCGUAUUAGCUAGUUGGUAAGGUAACGGCUUACCAAGGCAACGAUACGUAGCCGACCUGAGAGGGUGAUCGGCCACACUGGAACUGAGACACGGUCCAGACUCCUACGGGAGGCAGCAGUAGGGAAUCUUCCGCAAUGGGCGAAAGCCUGACGGAGCAACGCCGCGUGAGUGAUGAAGGUCUUCGGAUCGUAAAACUCUGUUAUUAGGGAAGAACAAACGUGUAAGUAACUGUGCACGUCUUGACGGUACCUAAUCAGAAAGCCACGGCUAACUACGUG